GAGUUGAUAUCUUAAUUUAUAAAGUUUUAGAUUUUUAAUCUAAAGAUAAACACAACUUA
rnacentral:tRNA from 1 species